rnacentral:rRNA from 1 species
GACGAACGCUGGCGGCGUGCCUAAUACAUGCAAGUAGAACGCUGAAGCUUGGUGCUUGCACCGAGCGGAUGAGUUGCGAACGGGUGAGUAACGCGUAGGUAACCUGCCUGGUAGCGGGGGAUAACUAUUGGAAACGAUAGCUAAUACCGCAUAACAGUAGAUAUCGCAUGAUAGCUACUUGAAAGGUGCAAAUGCACCACUACCAGAUGGACCUGCGUUGUAUUAGCUAGUUGGUGAGGUAACGGCUCACCAAGGCAACGAAACAUAGCCGACCUGAGAGGGUGAUCGGCCACACUGGGACUGAGACACGGCCCAGACUCCUACGGGAGGCAGCAGUAGGGAAUCUUCGGCAAUGGACGGAAGUCUGACCGAGCAACGCCGCGUGAGUGAAGAAGGUUUUCGGAUCGUAAAGCUCUGUUGUAAGAGAAGAACGAGUGUGAGAGUGGAAAGUUCACACUGUGACGGUAUCUUACCAGAAAGGGACGGCUAACUACGUG